GACGAACGCUGGCGGCGUGCUUAACACAUGCAAGUCGAACGGAAAGGCCCUGCUUUUGUGAGGUGCUCGAGUGGCGAACGGGUGAGUAACACGUGAGUAACCUGCCCUUGACUUUGGGAUAACUUCAGGAAGCUGGGGCUAAUACCGGAUAGGAGCUCCUGCUGCAUGGUGGGGGUUGGAAAGUUUCGGCGGUUGGGGAUGGACUCGCGGCUUAUCAGCUUGUUGGUGGGGUAGUGGCUUACCAAGGCUUUGACGGGUAGCCGGCCUGAGAGGGUGACCGGCCACAUUGGGACUGAGAUACGGCCCAGACUCCUACGGGAGGCAGCAGUGGGGAAUAUUGCACAAUGGGCGGAAGCCUGAUGCAGCAACGCCGCGUGCGGGAUGACGGCCUUCGGGUUGUAAACCGCUUUCGCCUGUGACGAAGCGUGAGUGACGGUAAUGGGUAAAGAAGCACCGGCUAACUACGUG
rnacentral:rRNA from 1 species